UACUGGGGGGGCAAGCGUUGUUCGGAAUUACUGGGCGUAAAGGGCUCGUAGGUGGCCAACUAAGUCAGACGUGAAAUCCCUCAGCUUAACUGGGGAACUGCGUCUGAUACUGGAUGGCUUGAGUUUGGGAGAGGGAUGCGGAAUUCCAGGUGUAGCGGUGAAAUGCGCAGAUAUCAGGAGGAACACCGGUGGCGAAGGCGGUUCUCUGGGCAUUACCUGACGCUGAGGAGCGAAAGUGUGGGGAGCGAACAGG
rnacentral:rRNA from 1 species